rnacentral:misc_RNA from 1 species
AAUCCUAUAUUUUGUAUUUGUCGUAUACAAUGUACGCAGAUAUUUGCAGUCUAUUAGCUUUUCAUUCCCCUUAAUUUUUAUGAUUUUUUUUUACAGACAAAUCAAAUGUUUAUCCAUAAACUUCCUGUUCUUGAUCAUACAAUAGCAGUAAGGUAUCUGAUCGUACGUCAUUAUAAAUGGAUUUCAAUCAUGCACAGGAAUACUGGAAUUCGCAAGCCGUUCUUGAAGCGAAAAAGAGCUGUGGAGUUGGUUAUCAAAAUGUAAGGAGUCCGUGUAAUGUUUUUAUAUUGGAUACAUCGUCAAGUUUGGGAAAAGAUGGCUUCGCACAAAUGAAGGAAAUGUUUAGUAUUAUCAUUGACGAGUAUGCAACACAAGACAUAAAGGAGAACGUCGCUGUUAUUGUGUGUGGACGACAUACAAAGUUUCUACGUCAUUAUUCCAGUCAUUAUGAAGAUAUCAAACAUUCAUUAGAUGAAGUUGAGUUUGGAGGAUCGUCCCCUUUAACAGCAGCAUUUUUCCUGUCCCUUGCAUGUGUAAAAUAUGGAGGAGAUCGCAUCCACAGAAUCGGAGCUUUUUGUGUGCACCCAAGAAUAAUUUUCAUUUCGGAUGGACGACCAACGAGUUUUACAAAUCUUGCAAGCGCAUUUGUUGAAGACAGUCCUCUAGAUGAAACUGAAAACGAUACAGAUCAUUUGCUGCAAUUGACGAGAUCAAUCGGUAAAAAAACUCCAAUUUUCUGUAUUCCAGUUGGAAGGAAUCCUGAUAUGACAACAUUAGAGUUCAUAAGCGGCCAGUCACGUGGUGGAAAGAUUGUGUUUGCAUCAGAAGCAAGACAGUUUGCAAAAUACUCGCUCAAUAUAAGAACAGCUUCAAUGCUGUCGUUUACAAUGGACAAUGAUUGCAAUGACAAUGAAAGAAUUCUGACAUCAUUAGCCUGUAAGUUUCCUGACAAAAUCUUCACAGAAAUGGACCAGAAAGACAUUAUUGACAUUUGUUUGAGGAAAUACUUAUACCAGUCGGUAUCUAGUAUGAAAGAUGAGAUUGAGGAUAAGACGGAGUCGCCUCAUGAGGAGAAAUACCCUCAAAUGCCUCGUUUAGGCUCGAGGGUUAGAAGAGGACGGGACUGGAGGUAUGACGAUCACGACAACUAUGGUCCUGGUACUAUUGUUAGCCAUCUUAAAGAAGGAACGCUGCUCGUGGAAUGGGAUAACGGCAUCAAGUCAGAUUACAGAUUUGGGACUAAAAGUAAAUGUAAAAAUAAAUAUGAUGUACAACUCUGCAGUGAACCACGCAUUUUGGUUAGCGAAUUGAUAGCCACUGGAUGUCUUGUAACUAGAGGCAAAGAUUGGAUCUGGGGUAGCCAAGAUGGCGGUGCUGGAAAUAUCGGAUCGGUAAUUUCAGUACACAGCUCUGGAGUAGUGUUUGUAUGUAUGCUAUUCAGUGCAUUUGUAUAUAGCAACUUUUACCAAAAUACAAUCAAUGUUCGGAGAUUAGCCAAGAAAAUACGGAAAAUUUAAUUGUAGGUGCGAUGGCAACACGGUUUAAUAAGUAAUUAUAAGUUUGGAGCUGAUGGAUGUUUUGACCUCGAAAUAAGUGAUCCAUUCUCGCCGGAAGCUAUCAAAUUUCUUCAGGACCAUGUGAAAAAGACACCUUUUGACUCCCGUGAUGGAGCACAAGUAGACGUCGAUGAGAGUAAUAACUGCACAGAUGGCAAUAGCUCGUCUACAAUAAAUUCAUUAUCAGAGAAAAAUUCGGAAUCCGUAAAAACAUCGUCCUUUGAUUCAGUGAACAGACCAAUCUUGCAUGUUACCAAAGGAAAGUAUUUUAAAAACAACAGUGUUGUUGAAAACGCAACACCAGAUAUUGAGACAGAUGGACCAACAUUUACAUGUGCAAUGAAUCAAUGGUGGUGGAAAGAUUGUGAAGGAAAGUGGAAUCCCUAUUCGAGGGAAGUUAAUGAAAGAAUUAAUAAAUGUUACAAACGUGAUCCCAAGUCAACUGUUAUCGUUGCUAUCAAGGACCAGUCUUACAGAGUUGUGAUGGCGAAAAAUCAACAGAUCAACCAGACGACCAGAGAUAUCAGUGAGAUAAAACUAGUGACAAACUGGUCAUGUCCAUAGAUAAAUCUAAAUAAGUUGACUCAUUUUGCAUCAUUUAUAUGGUUAGCAUAAAUAACGAAAUAUGUAUAUUCUAUCAUGCGUGGUAUACAUACAGCUGUUAAGUUAUGCUUAUAUUGAAACACAAAAUUUGAUUCUGUCAUUUGUUAUCAUACUUUUAAUUAUGUAAUGAAGCAUCAUUCGUUAUUUAUUUAUACAGGUAUAUAUUUUAUGACGUCUGUGUUUGAAAAUUAAAAGAAAAACCAAAUG